rnacentral:rRNA from 1 species
UACGGGAGGCAGCAGUGGGGAAUAUUGCACAAUGGGGGAAACCCUGAUGCAGCCAUGCCGCGUGUGUGAAGAAGGCCUUCGGGUUGUAAAGCACUUUCAGUAGGGAGGAAGGUAGUGUAGUUAACACCUGCAUUAUUUGACGUUACCUACAGAAGAAGCACCGGCUAACUCCGUGCCAGCAGCCGCGGUAAUACGGAGGGUGCGAGCGUUAAUCGGAAUUACUGGGCGUAAAGCGCAUGCAGGCGGCCUGUUAAGUCAGAUGUGAAAGCCCGGGGCUUAACCUCGGAAUUGCAUUUGAAACUGGCAGGCUAGAGUCUUGUAGAGGGGGUAGAAUUUCAGGUGUAGCGGUGAAAAUGCGUAGAGAUCUGAAGGAAUACCAGUGGCGAAGGCGGCCCCCUGGACAAAGACUGACGCUCAGAUGCGAAAGCGUGGGGAGCAAACAGGAUUAGAUACCCUGGUAG